GAUGAACGCUAGCUACAGGCUUAACACAUGCAAGUCGAGGGGCAGCAUGGUCUUAGCUCGCUAAGGCCGAUGGCGACCGGCGCACGGGUGAGUAACACGUAUCCAACCUGCCGUCUACUCUUGGACAGCCUUCUGAAAGGAAGAUUAAUACAAGAUGGCAUCAUGAGUCCGCAUGUCACACUAGUAGUUAAAGGUUAAAGGUUACCGGUUUACCGGUAACGGAACGUAGGGGUAGGGUAGUCGGUUCCCGUUACUUAAGUUAAGUAAGUUAAGGGUACGGGGGUAACCGGGGGUAACCCCGACCCCCUAACGUU
rnacentral:rRNA from 1 species